rnacentral:lncRNA from 1 species
AUCAACAUAACAGGUGAAGACGCUUUAGUAAACAACCGACAACCUCUGUUCGGGGGUCGACCAGCCAACGACGCACACUCAGCGGUCGGAAAGAUUCACCUUACAUUGGGUAGCAGAAACGUAUCACCACGAUCGACCAUCGGUAUGAGCCGGCUUGGGCUGAAGCUUACCGUAGCAUUGCUAGCGUUACUAGCUCUGCUCAUCGCAGACCCAGCAGAUGCUGAUAUUCAUAAAAAAAUUUUCAAGAUCGGGCUCAAAACUUUAAAAAAAGCACCUGUUUUUCCGUUUGUACUUCCGUUACCGCUACCAUCGCAUCUACCAAAGCUUCCGCAGCCUCAUAAAUCGGUCUGGGUCUCUCACGGCCGCAUCAAUGAACUCGAUGCGGAGAAGCUGGCUUGGAAGCUCGAGAAAGAAUACCAUAAGUACGUGAGUCUCGUCGAAGGUCUUCAGACUAAAUGGCCGAAACACAAAUAGUAACGUACAUUUGCCGUGCGUCUGCCACUCACCAAUGAUCUAUGUUUAUCAGCGACAGUGUGUGACGAUUCACUGUAGGUGUUUCUCAGAUUCAGCAUUACAGCAGCCUCCUAAAGACUGUGUCCGUUGUCUACGCUAACGGGGCGCGUACUUUCUCUAAAAAAUAUCAUAACAUCUAUGGCGGACUACGGGCAACAGACAGCCUCUAUCGAGUCAUGUGAAAACGAAUAUACGCAUCUAUAAAUAGGUUGUGUAGCAAAUAAUCGUAGCGACUAAAUAUAAUCAGCUCCAAUGAACUUGUUCAGAAAUUUCUUGCGGAUUGCAACCGGAUCAGAUAGACGAUCGAGCCGGUUAUUCGGAUCAACGUUCUGCUCAUAGGAUCGCCAAUGUUUUUGUGUGUGUUCAUUAAUCCAUCUGCAUGUAUCUCAUACAAUCCAAGUGCCAUAGGUCGGGUCAGUCGUUCUUUUUUGUCGUGACACAGCCUACCCCCACGCCAUCUAUUAUCAUCCUAUGCACUACCCCUACCAAUAUUGAGAUGCUCCUGCAAGUAGCACCAGGAAGCUACGCCUUCCGCGUCAUUUAUUCAGCGCAUUGAAAAGGUAAACUUCGGCGAUAUUCUAAUAUCGCAUGAGGGCAGAUACCAUGCUUCUUGUGCUUGUGCUGCUACUACUGAUUCAAAAAUAGGUAUCGGGUUCUUAUCGUGUAGCAACCGCUGCCGACGCUUAUACGACAACAGUUACCACUGCUGCUAUCAGGCUUGAUAAAACGCCUAUCAAAAUAACCAGUUGCUAGCUAGACUCCAGCUGUUGUUAGCCUACGAUUGCGUGGUCCACUUUGAGCUGGUGAGGAAAGCCGGUAAAGAUUUAAUGGUUAAAAUGGUGAAGGAGACAGUGACGGCGGCGAUGAAAAUGAUGAUCAGACAAUGACGCUUCACGGGUAUUAAUUACGAGGAGUCAAAGAAGCAUGAGAGAACUUGAAGCACUGUGACGCCCAUAGCGAGUGGUGACCCGAGGAUAAAAGGAGGAUUUCGACCAGCUGAAGGUUAACUACGAUCAUUGGCCAUAGCAACCUCUAAAGGGAGUGCACGCAAGCGCGUUAUGUGCUCGUGAGUUUGUCUGACCUUGUGUGCCAUAGCGUUAUUGUUCUCACUGUGAGACGAGAGUGAAGGAAGAAGACCAUGAUCCACCAACUCAAUACACAACGGGAAAUAACCGAUUGACUCUACUGAAUGUUGUAGCACUGAUGAUUCAUAGUGGUUAUGUUUAAUAA